GACCCAGUAUAGCAUAAUGGUCUGAGUGCUGGACUAUGACUCUGGAGACCAGGGUUCGACUCCCAGCUUGGCCA